UUCCCCCGGCCCCCCCCCCAAGUUGCACCUGCAUCACAAACAAGCCGCGGACUACGAUUCCCAGCAGGCAAUGGUCCCGCAAACCGCGACCUCUCCUUGCGUUGAGUGAUGAUUGCAUUCUGGAACUUGUAGUCUUUUUUUUUAAACUAGAGGCCAGGCUUGCGACGCUAGUUACGAAACCUUAAAACAGCUGUACGCGUCUCGGAAACCAGCCUCCUCACAUUAAGCAAACUCAGUGGGAGAAAUGUAACGUAAACGUGAUGGCCCUGGUGUGCGCGACGUUUAAAAGUCACUCCGCGAGCCGCCUUCGUCUUCCCAACUGACCUGAGUGGUUCGCCCGUUUACACUUGGGUGUGCGAGACGCAGUCCCGUCUAGGGUGGGCUGGAAGAGUCCGAGCAAAAUACGCUUUAAGCAGCUCAAACCCUGACCCCUCGAGUCGGACUGUGUGAACUGGGGAGAGUGGUCCGCUGCCCCCCGCCGUCUUCCCCCGCCGGCCACGCGAUGGCGCUGCUGCCCUCUAGUCUAGCUCGCAGCCCUGCGCUGGAAGAGUUAUUCCACAGCGGGGUUUAAACAAGGCAGAGUGAGGCCAGCGGCCGGCUGGGACUUUCAAAACACCGCUGCCCGGUUUCAGCUUGCGACCCGGCACUGGGUGCCUCCCCACUGAACUCCCUCUGAGAUGGCUCCUUCGCAAGGAUUGCGGGAGGCCCGCACUACCCUUACCCUUGGGAGAGCAGGGUUUGCUUCGAGGCAGACAGCAUAGUUAGUGGCUCACACCCCAGCAUUUGGGAGGCGGAGGCAGGAAGUUGCGCCAAACUGGGGAGGUCAGCUUCGGUUGCUUAAUGAUUUCCAGUCCAGCGUCGGCUAGACCGUCUGUCAGCACGCAUGGAUGUGAACCCCAGUGUGUGCGGGAGCCGCAGGAGGACGGAAGAGGGUAUCGGAUCUCUUGGAGCUCAGUUCCAGACGGUUGUAACUGUUGCAUGGGUGCCAGCAACCAACUCCGUGUCUUUUGCAAUGACAAGUGCUCUUGGCUGCCGAGCCGUCUUUCUGGUCUCAUAAAGUAAAUCUUCUUUCUAAAAAAUACAAUCCAAUUCUAUAUGGUAAUAUA